GGGUUAUGUGGCUCUUUUGAUUAUCCCCAGCUCUACCUGCAAGGAGCACUGGGAAAUAUAUCUUUGGGCCCCUCAAUUAGGUGAUGUGACUCCCCUUUCUGGACUCUUUCCUCAGGAGGUAUUGUGACAUAUUCCUGGAGCAAGUACCCAGGAGAGAUUGUGACAUAUCUCUGGAACCAGAACCUUGGUGAUGUGACUCUUCUCUCCUGCUGAAGCCAUGCCCACACAAGGGAAAGUGACUUAUCACUGGGCCCAGCACACAGCGCUAUUCACAGGGAAAAUAGUGACACAUCUGUGGGGUUCUCACCGAAAUGAUGUGACUCUCUUGCCUGGGCUCACCUCUCAAGGGAAUUUUGACAUAUUACUGGACCAAGCACCUAGGCCCUGCAUUUAUUGUGUAUUGUGACAUAUGGCUUGGUCCAACACCUAGGUGGUGUGACUCUCUACUUCUUCCUGUGCCAUGCCAAAGAAGAGGAUUGUGACAUAUCACUGGAUCCAGCACCUAGAAGGCUCUGCGACUCUUCUAUUUUCUCUAGGUUAUGCAAAUGGAGGUGGAUUGUGACAUAUCAUAGGGCCAACACAACACACAGUCUACAGGUGGAAUUGGGACUCUCAUGCAUGGAUCCAGUUCAUCAUUGAUACUGUGACUCAGGUGGGAUUUUGACAUAUAACUGCACCCAGCACACAGGUGAGAUUGUGACUCUUGUAUGCUCAUCCUGCCAAAAGUUGAGUGUCACCCUCACACAUGGACAGAGACUUCUGGAGACAGAUGGAUUUUGGAGAAUGACAGUGGAUUAUCAUGAGGUUAAUCAAGUGGUAACUCCAAUUGCAGCUGCUGUACCAGAUGUAGUUUCAUUGCUUGAGCAAAUUACCACAUCUCCUGGUACCUGUGGUCCAUUACAUUGAUGACAUUAUGCUGAUUGAAUCCAGUAAGCAAGAAAUAGCAAACACACCAGACUUAUUCAUGAGACGUUUGCAUGCCAGAGGAUGGAAAAUAAGUCUGACUAAAAUUUAGAGACCUUCUAGCUCAGUAAAACUUCCAGGGGUCCAGUGGUCCAAGGCCUGUCAAGAUAGUCCUUCUAAGGUAAAAGAUGCAGUGGCUCAUGCCUGUAAUCCCAGCACUUUCGGAGGCUGAGGUGGGCAGAUCAGGAGGUUAGGAGUUCGAGACCAGCCUGGCCAACAUGGUGAAAUGCCAUCUCUACUAAAAUUUUAAAAAAUUAGCUAGACGUGGUGGCAGGCACCUGUAAUCUCAGCUACAUGGGAGGUUGAGGCAGGAGAAUUGCUUGAAACUGGAAGGCAGGGGUUGCAGUGAGCUGAGAUCAGGCCACUGCAUUCCAGCCUGGACAACAAGAGUAAAACUCCAUCUCAAAAAAAUUUGUUUAUAUAUAUGUUUA
ensembl:lncRNA novel transcript